rnacentral:sRNA from 1 species
CUCCCCAGCAGUGGGCAGCAUCCUGGCAGCCAUCAGGGCAGUGGCCCAGGCCGGCACAGGUAAGGCUGGCAUGCGGGAGGGGCUGCGGCAGGGAGGGCACAGUAAGCACGCUAAGCCCUGCCGGCUGCUCUCGCAGUGGGGACGCUCCUCAUCGUGAAGAACUACACUGGGGAUCGGCUCAACUUCGGCCUGGCCCGGGAGCAGGCCCGGGCUGAAGGCAUCCCGGUGGAGAUGGUGGUGAUUGGGGACGACAGCGCCUUCACUGUCCUGAAGAAGGCAGGCCGGCGGGGGCUGUGUGGCACGGUGCUUAUACACAAGGUGGGCUUCCACCGGGGACGUGGAGACUGGCCAGCCCUUUCCAGCCUUCCCUUGCCUGGCAGCACCCGGUAACUGGACCUUUCCAGCCCUU